UAGAUGGUGAGGCACAUUCCCACCCAUUAUC
rnacentral:piRNA from 1 species